rnacentral:SRP_RNA from 1 species
GCCAGGUGAGGUGGCACAUGCCUAUAGUCCCAGCUACUCAGGAGGCUGAAGUGGGAGGAUCGCUGAAGCCCAGGAGUUCUGGGCUGUAGUGCGCUAUGCCCGUCGGGUGUCCACACUAAGUUCGGCAUCAAUAUGGUGACCUCCUGGGAGCGGGGGACCAUCAAGUUGCCUAAGGAGGGGUGAACUGGCCCAGGUCAGAAACGGAGCAGGUCAAAACUCCUGUGCUGAUCAGUAGUGGGAUCGUGCCUGUGAAUAGCCACUGUACUCCAGCCUGGGCAACAUAGGGAGACCCCAUCUCA